rnacentral:rRNA from 1 species
GUGAGGAAUCUUGCGCAAUGGGGGAAACCCUGACGCAGCAACGCCGCGUGAGCGAAGAAGGCCUUCGGGUCGUAAAGCUCUGUCUAGUGGGAAAAAAGUCCUGGUGUAAAUAGCUCCAGGAUCUGAUGGUACCGCUGGAGGAAGCACCGGCUAACUCCGUGCCAGCAGCCGCGGUAAUACGGAGGGUGCAAGCGUUGUUCGGAAUUAUUGGGCGUAAAGGGCGUGUAGGCGGUUUGGUAAGUCAGAUGUGAAAGCCCUGGGCUUAACCCAGGAAGUGCAUUUGAAACUACCAGACUUGAGUAUGGGAGAGGAGAGUGGAAUUCCCAGUGUAGAGGUGAAAUUCGUAGAUAUUGGGAGGAACAUCCGUGGCGAAGGCGACUCUCUGGACCAAUACUGACGCUGAGACGCGAAAGCGUGGGGAGCAAACAGGAUUAGAUACCCGAGUAGUCC